CAUUAAUCUGCCCAAUUUGAAGUGAGGUGCCACGUCUGGGAUUUGGACUGAGUGAAUGUGGGCAGAUGUGGUACAGGUGCUUGGAGGCUGCAGAGGCUGCAGUCCUGGGACUCCUUAAGCAGAGCAGAGUGGUGUGGAUUAAAGGACUUGGACAGAAUUGGUGAGAGAGCUGAUGGCUGGAAAUGUGUGAUUGCCAGAACGCUGUGCUAAGCCGGAAGUGGGUCAGGAGCUGGAUCACCUAAUGUCCACAUAGGCUCUGAUUGCAAGCGAGAGGCAAACAGCCCAGGAAUAAGUAAAUAGAGAAAAAUGAAGGGCAAUCAUAUACAUCCUAUCAAUCCCGUGUGCUCCCAGCACGGUACCGCUCAGCAGGAGAGUCGCAGCUGCCCUCCUUCCCUGCCUUACACCUGGAGUGGGAGUCCUCCUUGGGGCUUUCAGGGAUCCUAUAAACUCCUGAAAUCACUGCAGCUAGGUAUUUUGUGUCUGAUAAGUGGACGUUAGCUUUUUUAAUACUAAAAAUAUUGAACGUUUCUAAAAAAAUCACUGUGCUGUCUCUUCCUGUAGGAAGACUCUACUUGUCAGCCCCCAUAUCCCUCAGCCAAGGAAAACAUGUAUAUGAUUCAGCAUCAUUUUCUCUAACACAAGAUGACGAGAAAACCCUCAGACCACAAUGGUUUCUGCUGGGAUAUCUUCUCAAAGUAUUUGCAUUUGUCAACAAAGGGUGGCAUAUUAAAGAAAAAAGUAGGAGAGACUUUUUCCUCAUAAUAAAGUUUGAGUCACUACUGGAUUUCUAGGAGUCAAAGUGUUAUAUUACGGGACACAUGACUGAAGGAAUGAAUGAAUCCAUGGACAAUGUCUACAUGAUUCCACCUCAGAGGACAGGUGGACAAGAUGGAUCAGUGACUCAAAAGACCCUGACAGAAUCAGGAACUGAAUAGAAGCAAGUGGAGACUGCCAGAAAAAACAGUCACCAUCGCACUGCUAGUCUGAAAUUCCACCUGACCCAAGAGUGGGUCUUCCACCUUCUUACUUCCAUAAAUGUGAUUUCCAUGGUAUAUGGUUAAUAGAAUGUGCUCUACCUGCCACCUGCCUGGGUUGGAUGCUGAUUCCUCAGCUGAUUUUGUGACCUUUGAACAAAUGCCCAGAGGAGCUCUAAGACCCCUGCGUGAGGAGUCUUCAGGAGUCCCAAGGCCAGGAUCAUUUCCAGGAGGGCAGCCUGGUGAGUGGAUUGCUCCCCAGGACUGGCAUGGACUUGUCAUAGGAUUGCAUAAGAAUACACUGCCAGAUGGUGCUGAUUCUGACUGGGGGAAACUAGAGAAUAAAGAAUUUUCAAAUGCACUGAUUGGAAAAUUGUAUAGAUAUACCUCUUCUUUAUUUAUUAU